UGGUAGCAUCUCAGCUUGGAAGCCCUAAGGAGCGCAGUAUUACUACAUCAUCACCUGAAAGUUCUGCUCUGAAACAUCCUUGCCGGGCUUUAAGUGGAGCCCACUGGGCUGGACAAGUCAUUUCCCCUUGACUGGGCUGCCUUUCCAGGCCACUGCGGAAGAGAAUGUGCUCCAUCCUGAUGAGACUUGAUGUGCUGGGAUGGAGGCAGGAACGGAGGAGGACUUAGUUACAACCAUCAUUUGGACUCCACGGGAACCAAACAGGAGCUCACAGAACAAAACAGGCUAUAGAAAG